rnacentral:lncRNA from 1 species
AGAGGGCUUGAAAAAUGCAGCAUCAAUGUUGCUUAUUAGCAUAUACACAUUUUGGGAGUAUUUGACUAAGCAUUAACCAUUCCAGCUAAGAGAUCAGUGUUUGUCAUUCAAAAUAGCUGAGGUGGUUGGGAGAGGACAGCCAGUAUUCCCCAAAAGAGGUUUAUUAGUUUCCUAGGCUGCUGUCACAAAUUGACACAGACUUAGUGACUUAAAACAACAGAAAUGUAUUCGCUUACAGCUUGGGAGACCAGAAAUCCAAGGUGAGUUUCCCUGGGUUAAAGUGAAGGUGUUGGCCCGGCUGGUUCCUUCUGGAGGCUCCGAUGGAGACUGUUCUUUGCUUUUUCAGCCUCUGGUUGCUGCUGGCAUUCCUUCGUUUGUGUUUGUGUCACUACAUUCUCUGCUUCUCUGGCACAUGGACUCUUCUUCUGCAUCCAGUUUUCCUCUGUCUUCCUCUCAUAAGCAUGCGUGUGGUAGCAUUUAGCGUCCACCCAGGCAAUCUAGAUUAAUCUCUCACCUCAAGCUCCUUAACUGAAUCACAUCUGC